CUCAUCUGUGGUCAAAAGCACGGGAGUGAUGUGCCUCCAGUAACUGGUCUGUGAUCACGUGCAUGAAAUAGGAAAUUGCAACUUUGCGAUUGGCUGCGAGAGAUACGCGUGGAUACGCGGUACGUAAAGUACGCUCCAUGUGACGGAACCCGUAUAUUUGUUGGGGAAAGUAACGUUUACUAAAAAUCUAUAAAAUUGGAUUGAGAAGUGUAAUUCCCUAAAAGGACAUUAUUAAUAUUAUUCUCAAAUGAAUAAAAAUGAAUUCAUGAACACAUACGGUCCGCUCGUUGGUGCAAUUGAUGAGGGAACAAGUAGUGCUCGAUUUUUGGUAUUUGCUGCAAAUACUGCUGAAGUAUUAACUUAUCAUCAAGUGCCAAUUUCACAAUCCUGUCCUAAGGAAGGAUGGGUUGAACAAGAUGCAAAAGAAAUAUUAGCUGCAGUUCAAGAAUGUUUGAAACAAACUGUAUUCAAUCUCCGACAACUGACUAUAGAUCCAUCAGAUAUUGUAGCUCUUGGUAUUACAAACCAAAGAGAAACAACUGUAGUGUGGGAUUCACAGACUGGGGAACCAUUAUACAAUGCUAUAGUAUGGAUGGACAUGAGAACUACAAGUAUAGUUGAUGAAAUACUUAAGGGUGUGCGUAAUCAGAAUAAAAACUACCUCAAACCACUUUGUGGAUUACCAAUUAGUCCUUACUUCAGUGCUUUAAAACUCAAAUGGUUAUUGGAAAACGAGCCUAAAGUGCAACAGGCUAUACGUGAAAAGCGCUGUAUGUUUGGUACCAUUGAUUCCUGGUUGAUAUGGAACUUGACCGGUGGUAUCAAUGGUGGCGUUCAUAGCACAGAUGUAAGCAAUGCCUCAAGAACAAUGCUAAUGAAUAUCAAUACUUUGAAAUGGGACAAUACACUGCUGUCCUUUUUUAAAAUACCUCGUGAGAUAUUACCAGAAAUACGUAGUUCCUCAGAAGUUUAUGGACAUAUACAAGAAGGAGUAAUGCGCGGAGUACCGAUUUCUGGGUGUCUCGGAGAUCAGCAAUCUGCUCUAGUUGGUCAGAUGUGCUUCCAUCAGGGUCAAGCAAAAAGCACUUAUGGUACUGGCUGCUUUUUACUUUACAACACUGGAACUGCAAUCGUAGAUUCAUCUCACGGAUUGCUGACAACUGUAGCUUACCAGUUGGGUGCAAAUGUCCCUCCAGUUUACGCAUUGGAGGGAUCAGUCGCUAUAGCCGGUGCCGUUGUGCAAUGGUUAAAAGAUAAUCUAGGUAUUUUAUCAAAUAUUUCCGAAUGCGAAUCGGUCGUCGAAAAGCUUUCAUCGGAAAAUCGUGUAACCUUCGUACCAGCAUUUGCUGGUCUCUAUGCACCAUAUUGGAGAAAGGAUGCUAGAAGUGUGAUAUGUGGUAUUACAGAAGACACUAACAGUGCUCACAUUGUGAAGGCAGCCUUGCAAUCUGUGUGUUUUCAAACGAGAGACAUUUUGGAAGCAAUGAAACAGGAUACUGGUCUAUCACUCUCGGAAUUAUUAGUGGAUGGCGCUAUGACGAAGAAUAAUUUAUUAAUGCAAAUGCAAGCUGAUAUUUGUGGCAUUCCUGUGGGAAGUCAGACCUUUGAUGUGUGAAACAACUGCUCUUGGCGUAGCUAUUGCUGCGGGAAGUGCUGAAGGAGUUCGUAAGUGGGACCUUAAGAUUGACGCUAUGGUACCCAGUGACGUGUUUGUGCCAUCUAUAACUGAAAAUGAACGCGAUAUACUUUACUCACAAUGGAAAAUGGCCAUCGAACGUAGCUUAGGCUGGGAGCCUUGUUUGGACUCAGAUGACGAAACGAAGGAUGUUCAUGCAGCUACCAGUACUGGUCUGUUUGUAAUGGGUACCGUGAUUCUUCUAAUGAUUGCAAAAUAUAGAUCAAAUCUGUGACUCGGGUUUUGGAUAACAUGCAUUGCAUUUUAGUCAAAUAAACAAUAACUUAAAUUAUCUUGA